CGCUGAUCACCUGAAGAAGACCAUGUGGGGAUGUGUCGUAAUCAAGUGGAAAACGUUUAAUUCAACGCUUGUCAUGAUGUGAUGAGAUUCAUUUGAAUGAUAUGAGGAGUGGCUGAAACAUGGAACAACAAGUCAACACAAAACAGGACAGCAGUCCAAAGGGGCAAAGCUCAUUCCAUCAUGAGAGGCCUCCAUCACCUGUGCCCACUUGUGUGUCCAUGAAGAGUGAAUGGUCAGAGGAUCGUGAC